rnacentral:rRNA from 1 species
UACGUAGGGUGCGAGCGUUGUCCGGAAUUAUUGGGCGUAAAGAGCUCGUAGGCGGUCUGUCGCGUCGGCUGUGAAAUCCCGGGGCUCAACCCCGGGCCUGCAGUCGAUACGGGCAGACUAGAGUGCGGUAGGGGAGACUGGAAUUCCUGGUGUAGCGGUGAAAUGCGCAGAUAUCAGGAGGAACACCGGUGGCGAAGGCGGGUCUCUGGGCCGUAACUGACGCUGAGGAGCGAAAGCGUGGGGAGCGAACAGG